CCUUCGAUAGCUCAGUUGGUAGAGCGGUGGACUGUAGUUUAAAUUAGCGGAUGCUUUGAUCAGAAAUCCAUAGGUCGCUGGUUCAAAUCCGGCUCGAAGGA
rfam:Glossina morsitans morsitans, isolate Yale, WGS project CCAG01000000 data, contig: ctg10014872